rnacentral:rRNA from 1 species
UGAACGCUGGCGGUAUGCCUAACACAUGCAAGUCGUACGGGAGUUUUUAACUCUAGUGGCGGACGGGUGAGUAACACGUGAGAAUUUACCUUUAGGAGGGGGAUAACAAUUGGAAACGAUUGCUAAUACCCCAUAUGCUUGAGAGUGAAAUAGAUUUAUCUGCCUAGAGAGAAGCUUGCGGCUGAUUAGCUUGUUGGUAAGGUAAUGGCUUACCAAGGCGACGAUCAGUAUCUGGUUUGAGAGGGCGAUCAGACACACUGGAACUGAGACACGGUCCAGACUCCUACGGGAGGCAGCAGUGGGGAAUUUUCCGCAAUGGGCGAAAGCCUGACGGAGCAAUACCGCGUGAGGGAUGACGGCCUAUGGGUUGUAAACCUCUUUUUUCAGGGAGGAAUAAAAUGACGUGUACCUGAAGAAUAAGCAUCGGCUAACUCC